AUAGAUAUGUUGAAGAAGAGGAGUAUUACUUAUUUAAUAUUUUAGAGAGCUUGUGUUGGGUGCAAACAAGUUAUUGGAUAGUAAGAAGGUUGCUUUGGAGUAUAAAACGUUUCUUCGCGUUAAGAAGUAGAGUGUAUGAUUAGUCAUAAAAUAAGGUGGUACCGCGAGAUUUCGUCCUUAUA
rnacentral:ncRNA from 1 species